AGAGUUGAUCAUGGCUCAGGACGAACGCUGGCGGCGUGCCUAACACAUGCAAGUCGAGCGAGGAGAUCCUUCGGGAUGAUCCUAGCGGCGGACGGGUGAGUAACACGUGGGCAACCUGCCUCAUAGAGAGGAAUAGCCUUCCGAAAGGGAGAUUAAUACCUCAUAACAUUGCAGUUUCGCAUGGAACAGCAAUUAAAGGAGCAAUCCGCUAUGAGAUGGGCCCGCGGCGCAUUAGCUAGUUGGUGAGGUAACGGCUCACCAAGGCGACGAUGCGUAGCCGACCUGAGAGGGUGAUCGGCCACAUUGGGACUGAGACACGGCCCAGACUCCUACGGGAGGCAGCAGGUGGGGAAUAUUGCACAAUGGGGGAAACCCUGAUGCAAGCAACGCCGCGUGAGUGAUGACGGCCUUCGGGUUGUAAAGCUCUGUCUUCAGGGACGAUAAUGACGGUACCUGAGGAGGAAGCCACGGCUAACUACGUGCCAGCAGCGGC
rnacentral:rRNA from 1 species